GAUGAAGAACGUAGCAAAUUGCGAUAACUAAUGUGAAUUGCAAAUUCAGUGAAUCAUCGAGUUUUUGAACGCAUCUUGCACUCACAUUUACCUGUGAGUACACCUGAUUCAGUGUUGAUAAAACACCAGCAUGACACAUUUUUUGUGGACAUGGUUAAAGAAAAUAAAAUAAAAUAGUUUAUUUUUAUUAAACAGGAGGUUCCACUAAUCUGUUAGUGGCUUUAUUGGUUUAACCCCUCAUUUCUUCCAAAAUAUUGAAAGUAAAUGAAUGUANAGUCCUUGAUGAAAAUGGACCCUCUCCAUAACUUAAAACUCAACCUGAAUUCAAGUGGGAUUACCCGCUGAACUUAAGCAUAUCAAUAAGCGGAGGA
rnacentral:misc_RNA from 1 species